rnacentral:rRNA from 1 species
AUGACAUCAGCUAUCCAGGCCGAAGCAUUUAGCAUGAUGCUAGCAUACAAGAUUGCGGAGCGGCUUCAGAUUCAGCAGGGAACAUUUCUGACGGACAGCAUGAUUCUGGCGAAAGCUAUAGCGGCCAGCAAGCCCAUUCUUGAUCCAGGUCAUUGGACUAUAAGGCCACAGCUUGCAUGCAUAACAGCUUCCUCAACCUUUGAUGCUACAAGAAUUUAUCAUAUCAAUUGGAGCUACAACUUACGAGCACAACACCAAGCUAGAUUAGCAAUCAAAACUCAAAACUCCCCUUCAAGGUUCACAUGUUUAGGUUCAGGAAAUGGUUCUUGCCUUAAUGCAGUACUAGCUGCACUUUCUUCAGAACUGCAAUAA